UGGCGAACGGGUGAGUAAUACAUCGGAACGUACCUUAUCGUGGGGGAUAACGCAGCGAAAGCUGUGCUAAUACCGCAUACGCCCUAAGGGGGAAAGCGGGGGAUCGAAAGACCUCGCGCGAUUAGAGCGGCCGAUGCCUGAUUAGCUUGUUGGUGGGGUAAAAGCCCACCAAGGCGACGAUCAGUAGCUGGUCUGAGAGGACGAUCAGCCACACUGGGACUGAGACACGGCCCAGACUCC
rnacentral:rRNA from 1 species